UGCACGUGAAUNUUCACUCUUACUCUUCAAAGUUAAAAUCCUAAUUUCUUCUCCAGUUGAGCUUCUUCUUCUCCAACCCCCUGGCUGCCGUCGUUCUCAAUCUUAGAGAAGGGCUUCGCCUCCGUCCUCCGUUCGAGAGCACAACUUCGCCGCCGUUUUCUGUCUGAGAGAAGAGCUUCGCAACCCACCUGCAUCUGAGAGCAAAGCUUCGCCAUCCUUCGCCGUGAGCCUGUUGCCGUCGCCGUCGCUGUUGUUGUGAGUCCGUCGUUGUCUCUGCAUCCUGCAAAUCACUAGAUCUGAUAUUUUAUGAAGAUGUGAAAAGUGAUCAAGAAUAAGGAUCGAAGGCUAUUUUAUAUCUAAUAUUGUAAUUUCUUUAUUAUGUUGUUAAAUUUAUAGUGAUUUAACACUAGAUUUUUUUUUUAAUUCAAGUUAUUUGAGCUAAUGACAUUGUAUGAAUUUUAUGUCUGUAUUUUAAUUUAUCAAUGAAUUUUAAGUUUUUGUCUUUAUU